GACGAACGCUGGCGGCGUGCCUAAUACAUGCAAGUCGAGCGGACGGAUGGGAGCUUGCUCCCAGACCGUCAGCGGCGGACGGGUGAGUAACACGUGGGCAACCUGCCUGUAAGACUGGGAUAACUCCGGGAAACCGGGGCUAAUACCGGAUAACUCUUUCCCUCACAUGAGGGAAAGCUGAAAGAUGGCAUCUCGCUAUCACUUACAGAUGGGCCCGCGGCGCAUUAGCUAGUUGGUGAGGUAACGGCUCACCACGGCGACGAUGCGUAGCCGACCUGAGAGGGUGAUCGGCCACACUGGGACUGAGACACGGCCCAGACUCCUACGGGAGGCAGCAGUAGGGAAUCUUCCGCAAUGGACGAAAGUCUGACGGAGCAACGCCGCGUGAGUGAUGAAGGUUUUCGGAUCGUAAAACUCUGUUGUCAGGGAAGAACAAGUACCGGAGUAACUGCCGGUACCUUGACGGUACCUGACCAGAAAGCCACGGCUAACUACGUG
rnacentral:rRNA from 1 species